GUAGCUUCUGAAUAUGUUAUGUGCUGAUGGAGAACAACCAAAUCAGCACAGGACCGUCCAUAAGCACAUUACUAACAAGGAAAAUACAAGAUGAAAGAGGACGACUUUCAUGUGUAGCCACAAACUCGGAUAGCUUUUCCUUAUACAAU